GCCUUCGUGGUGAAGUGAUCAGCACGCUCGACGCGUAACCGAGAGGUCCGUGGUUCAAUUCCCGGCGAAAGCA
rnacentral:tRNA from 1 species